UACGUAGGGGGCAAGCGUUGUCCGGAAUCAUUGGGCGUAAAGAGCGUGUAGGCGGCCUGAUAAGUCGGCUGUGAAAGUCAAGGGCUCAACCCUUGAAUGCCGGCCGAUACUGUCAGGCUAGAGUCCGGAAGAGGCGAGUGGAAUUCCUGGUGUAGCGGUGAAAUGCGCAGAUAUCGGGAGGAACACCAAUGGCGAAGGCAGCUCGCUGGGACGGUACUGACGCUGAGACGCGAAAGCGUGGGGAGCAAACAGG
rnacentral:rRNA from 1 species